AGUAACGGCGAGUGAAGCGGCAACAGCUCAAAUUUGAAAUCUGGAAUUUUUGGGGUCCGAGUUGUAAUUUGCAGAGGGUGCUUUGGUGUUGGCGGCGGUCUAAGUUCCUUGGAACAGGACAUCGCAGAGGGUGAGAAUCCCGUAUGUGGUCGCAUGCCUUCGCCGUGUAAAGCCCCUUCGACGAGUCGAGUUGUUUGGGAAUGCAGCUCUAAAUGGGAGGUAAAUUUCUUCUAAAGCUAAAUACCGGCCAGAGACCGAUAGCGCACAAGUAGAGUGAUCGAAAGAUGAAAAGCACUUUGGAAAGAGAGUCAAACAGCACGUGAAAUUGUUGAAAGGGAAGCGCUUGCAGCCAGACUUGCCUGUAGUUGCUCACCCGGGCUCCUGCCCGGGGCACUCUUCUGCAGGCAGGCCAGCAUCAGUUUGGGCGGUCGGAUAAAGGGCUCUGACACGUACUUCCCCUCGGGGUUGACAUACAGGGGAGCCGCAAUGCGACCAGCCCGGACUGAGGUCCGCGCAUCUGCUAGGAUGCUGGCGUAAUGGCUGUAAGCGGCCCGUCUUGAAACACGGACCAAGGAGUCUAACAUCUAUGCGAGUGUUUGGGUGUCAAGCCCGAGCGCGCAAUGAAAGUGAACGGAGGUGGGAGCCCCUCGGGGUGCACCAUCGACCGAUCCUGAUGUCUUC
rnacentral:rRNA from 1 species